rnacentral:misc_RNA from 1 species
GAUGAAGAACGCAGCGAAAUACGAUAAUUAAUGUGAAUUGCAGAAUUCCGUGAAUCAUCGAGUCUUUGAAUGCACAUUGCACCUCAUGGCAUUCCGUGAGGCAUGCCCAUCUCAGCGUUAGAAAAUAUUCUCAAAUUUUAGUUUUGUGCUAAAAUUUGGAUCAUGUCAAAGAAGCUAUUACUAUUAUUGUGAUCGCUCUUUGGAAAUUGAUAGGUCUUUGAGUUGCUACUCAUAGAACGUGAUGAAUCUUUCUUCGUUCUAUUGUAAUUCACUCUGGUAGUCCUAAAACUUGUAUGCCUGUGGCAUAUCUUGUAAUUUGACCUGAGAUUGGGUAGGGAUACCCGCUGAACUUAAGCAUAUCAAUAAGCGGAGGA